rnacentral:rRNA from 1 species
UUUGGCCUACGGGAGGCAGCAGUGGGGAAUUUUGGACAAUGGGCGCAAGCCUGAUCCAGCUAUUCCGCGUGUGGGAUGAAGGCCCUCAGGUUGUAAACCACUUUUGUAGAGAACGAAAAGACACCUUCGAAUAAAGGGUGUUGCUGACGGUACUCUAAGAAUAAGCACCGGCUAACUACGUGCCAGCAGCCGCGGUAAUACGUAGGGGGCGAGCGUUAAUCGGAAUUACUGGGCGUAAAGGGUGCGCAGGCGGUUGAGUAAGACAGAUGGGAAAUCCCCGAGCUUACCUCGGGAAUGGCAUAUGG